CGGCAACAUUGCGGGUCAAAGAACGGAAAAGAGAAUAAUUAUCCGUCGAUACGGCAACCGCGUGGUAAUGUCGAAUGUUUUGUUUUGAAACCAAUUUUGUUUUUGAAAGUCCUACCAAAAUAGCUCCCUUUAGACUGUAAUUAUUUUAUAAUUUAAUCAGUUAUGCUCUCAAGCUAGCUACAUUGCGCUUAUAGACCGUCCACCGGUCUAGUGAUUACCUCCGAGUAAAUUUUCGUUCACCGGGUGCUAUCAUUUUUUUAUAUAAUAAUAAGGGUAAAAUGGGUGACAGUGGAGGCGAAUUUGAAUCAGGAAAAAAUCAAGAUGACCUGAUUAUGCAAAGACAACGAGAAAUUGAAAAAGAGAUCAAUGAAUCCAUCAUGUUAGUGGGCGAUAAGGAGUCGCUGUCAACCUUGGAGGCAGAAUAUCUAGCGAUGAAAUUUAUAAACAGAAGUCAAAGAUCUGGCUACCAAGUACAAGAAUAUCCGCCGUACACGGCCGGACGGCAACUGUUUUUUCCGUGCCUUUGCUUAUGCUUACUUGAAAGCUUACUGGACCAUAAAGAAGACUAUAACAGGUAGAAAGUAAGGAAUAGAUUCCACCUAUGAUACAUUCCACAAUGCCACCUCAUACAUUUUGAGAAAUUAUCUUUCUACUUCACUUGUUCGAAUUAAAUGUCGAUUGGACUUACGCAUUCCAAAAUUAUUCCGCUCUCAUCAAGAUUGAGGAUGUUAUAAAACUGUACAAGUAUCACACAUCAAGUGUUGAAGUUAAGUCAACAGAUUUUGAAAAUGUAGCUGGUUCUUUAUAAUUAGUUUUUAUGUACAGUAAGACCUCGAAUUAUCGGAUUGCGAUUUAACGGAUUCCGAGUUUUAACGGAUGGAUCCUCCGGUCCCUUCAGCAGGACCCACUAGCGCGAUUUAACGGGUUGGGCCUCCGGUCCCGUGAAAUACGUCAAAUCGAAGUCUGACUGUACUAUGGACCUUGAAGUAUUAUAACUAAUGUGGCAGUCUGCUAGCUUGAAUAUCAAAGAUUCUAAUCUUCUGAAAACGAUUUCAUACCGGCCUCUUUUGAUGCCCUUACCAUAGUAGGUGUCACAAACAAAGAUGCAGCUCAACUUAUGCAAUCAUUAUCAAGCUCCACCUUUCAUGUGGUACUUAAAUAAACUUAAUUCUUUGAACUUGGUAUCUUCAUUAUGUACUUGAAGGCAUUGUAAGUAAAACUAAAAAUUGUGCAAAACUAAAAUCUGUUUCCACAUACGAUAAUCAGUAAUUAGAAACUUUUUACUGUCCAUCAUCUGUCACUACUUAGUUUCUUUUAAGCUAAAAACGAGGGUCCACUAUUUGAGCGUAAGUUUACUCCCAUGUAUAUGAGAGCCCAUGUCAAAAUUUAGUUUGCUGCGUCUUUAUUUCAAUGUACCUUACCUUUUCAAAACAAUACCUUAUAUGCAUUUGUAAAUGGCUGACGAAAAGUUGCGUUUGAGAGCAUCAAGAUAGUGCAAAUUUACUUAUGCAAAAUUUGCCUAAUUAUCUUUGCUAAAUUUUGCAAUUUAUUUCUUUUUUUCAGUUUUAUAAUAUUGCUGUAGAAAGUAAGAAAAAAUUGAUCUCGCUUGGAUUUCCUCAGUUUACUUUGGAAGAUUUCAUGAUACAGUAAGUAUUCAUGUAUACCUAUGUGCCCAAAUAUUUUGAAUGAAUCAUCACCAACAAAAUGCCACAAAUGAUUACGCCACUUCUUUAAUUUUAAAUAAUCUUUUUUAUCAGUUGAUUUCUACCAACCCAAGUAGCAUUGUCAUCUACUCUCUAGGUGGCGCUCAUCAAGAAAAUGUCUACUUUCUAGAUAGAACGAUUUUCUUGAAAGAAAAUAGGUAUAAAGUAGAUCUAGAAAAUAGACACAAGAAAAUAGAAAAAAAAUACAUUUUUUCCUUGCAUUUUCUCAAAAGAAAACAUUAAGAAAUUGGCUAGAAAAUAAUUCUACUUUCAAUAAAUUUUCUAUAUUUUUCCAAAUGAAAAGUUGACAGAAAGUAGACCUAUGAAAUAGAUCUAUUUUCUUAGGUCAGACUUUUGACUCGUAAUGUUUUUUCUUUCUAUCUUCUCGAUAACUCUCAUUUUCUUGGUAUUUUUUAGAAAUUUUCUUCAUAUUUUUUUCUAGGAAAAAAUUCUAUUUUGCUACUUGGGAAUGCAUUUUAAAAUUAUAUCGCUAAUAGCUCUUUCGUGAUGCCUAAUGUUUGAGAUUUCAAACGGCUUUGAUACAGUUUCAAUACUUUUAUAGCAGCUCAUAAAUUCGGCUUUAACCACUCGAGAAAGUUCUCAGUAUUUGACAUCAAACAAAAUCCAACUUUCAAACUCCCAAAAGAGGAAAGCAUUGUAAUAAAGGGUACAAUCGGAAAACCUCAAUCUUGUCACAUUCUAAACCACACAUCGUGCACAGCACAUUUGCUUUUGUUGUAUGUAUCUUUAUUUUCCCUCAGAACUUCUGAUAUCCGUCAUGUUAAAAGACAAGCUCUUCAUGCGAAAUUUUUAAGUUUUACGCAAUAAAAUUUUCUGGAAACUAGCAAAAUGCUAACUUCUUCUAAGUAAUGUCUCUAGGUCCCCUUCUCAUAAAAAUAUUAAAGAUAUCUAGAACUUGCUGAAGCCCAUCCAAUGCAUGUCUGUAAACCCUAAUUUUUUUUCUUAAUGACUUCUGCUAUCUUCUAAUAAAUUACCAUAGCAAGCCAAAAUUUGGCUCUAAUUUGUC
rnacentral:lncRNA from 1 species